rnacentral:rRNA from 1 species
AUUCCUACGGGAGGCAGCAGUGGGGAAUUUUCCGCAAUGGGCGAAAGCCUGGCGGAGCAAUACCGCGUGAGGGAAGACUGCCUAUGGGUUGUAAACCUCUUUUUUCAGGGAGGAAUAAAUGACGUGUACCUGAAGAAUAAGCAUCGGCUAACUCCGUGCCAGCAGCCGCGGUAAGACGGAGGAUGCAAGUGUUAUCCGGAAUCACUGGGCGUAAAGCGUCUGUAGGUGGUUUAAUAAGUCAACUGUUAAAUCUUGAGGCUCAACUUCAAAAUCGCAGUCGAAACUAUUAGACUAGAGUAUAGUAGAGGUAAAGGGAAUUUCCAGUGGAGCGGUGAAAUGCGUAGAGAUUGGAAAGAACACCGAUGGCGAAAGCACUUUACUGGGCUAUUACUAACACUCAGAGACGAAAGCUAGGGUAGCAAAUGGGAUUAGAUACCCCAGUAGUCCUAGCCGUAAACAAUGGAUACUAGAUGUUGGACAGAUCGACCUGUGCAGUAUCAAAGCUAACGCGUUAAGUAUCCCGCCUGGGAAGUAUGCUCGCAAGAGUGAAACUCAAAGGAAUUGACGGAAU